AUUGAACGCUGGCGGCAGGCCUAACACAUGCAAGUCGAGCGAGCGGCGGACGGGUGUGUAAUGCCUGGGAAUUGCCCAGUCGAGGGGGAUACCAGUUGGAAACGACUGCUAAUACCGCAUACGCUUGGUUUGCCUAGGUGGGAUGAGCUAGUUGGUGAGGUAAUGGCUCACCAAGGCGACGACCCCUCGCGGGUCUGAGCGGAUGAUCAAAAAAACUAGAACAGAGACACGGUGCAGACUCCUACGGGAGGCAGCAGUGGGGAAUAUAGAACCAUGGGGGAAAGCCGGAUGCAGCAAGGCAGUGUGUAUGAAGAAGGCCUUCGGGUUGGAAAGCACUUGCAGCGAGGAGGGGUUACUCGCAGAAGAAGCACUGGCUAACUCAGUGCCAGCAGCCGCGGGAAUAC
rnacentral:rRNA from 1 species